GGGGAUCUGGUUUAGGGGUAUAACGUUUCAUUCGCAUUGAAAAGGUCUUGGGGGUUCGAUUCCCAAGUUCUCCA
rnacentral:tRNA from 1 species